rnacentral:rRNA from 1 species
GUUACUGCUAUCGGAGUUCGAUUAAGCCAUGCGAGUCUAAAGGUUUCCUCGGAAACCUUGGCGGACUGCUCAGUAACACGUGGAUAACCUACCCUUGGGACUGGAAUAACCCCGGGAAACUGGGGAUAAUACCGGAUAGAUCAGGGAUGCUGGAAUGCACCUUGAUCCAAAGCUCCGGCGCCCAAGGAUGGGUCUGCGGCCUAUCAGGUAGUAGUGGGUGUAACGUACCUACUAGCCAACGACGGGUACGGGUUGUGAGAGCAAGAGCCCGGAGAUGGAUUCUGAGACACGAAUCCAGGCCCUACGGGGUGCAGCAGGCGCGAAAACUUUACAAUGUGCGAAAGCAUGAUAAGGGAACUCCGAGUGCCAACAUCUAAUGUUGGCUGUCCUUGUGCCUAAAACGCACAAGAUAGCAAGGGCCGGGUAAGACCGGUGCCAGCCGCCGCGGUAACACCGGCGGCCCGAGUGGUAGCCACUAUUAUUGGGUCUAAAGGGUCCGUAGCCGGUUCGAUAAGUCCUCUGGGAAUCUGGUUGCUUAACAAUCAGACUGCCAAGGGAUACUGUCGAACUUGAGACCGGGAGAGGUAAGAGGUACUUCAGGGGUAGGAGUGAAAUCUUGUAAUCCCUGGGGGACCAUCUGUGGCGAAGGCGUCUUACCAGAACGGGUCUGACGGUGAGGGACGAAAGCUGGGGGCGCAAACCGGAUUAGAUACCCGGGUAGUCCCAGCCGUAAACGAUGCUCGCUAUGUGUCAGGUACGGUGUGACCGUAUCUGGUGCCGUAGGGAAGCCGUGAAGCGAGCCACCUGGGAAGUACGGCCGCAAGGCUGAAACUUAAAGGAAUUGGCGGGGGAGCACUAC